CGCGGCCUAUCAGCUUGUUGGUGGGGUAGUGGCUCACCAAGGCUUUGACGGGUAGCCGGCCUGAGAGGGUGACCGGCCACAUUGGGACUGAGAUACGGCCCAGACUCCUACGGGAGGCAGCAGUGGGGAAUAUUGCACAAUGGGCGGAAGCCUGAUGCAGCAACGCCGCGUGCGGGAUGACGGCCUUCGGGUUGUAAACCGCUUUCGCCUGUGACGAAGCGUGAGUGACGGUAAUGGGUAAAGAAGCACCGGCUAACUACGUGCCAGCAGCCGCGGUGAUACGUAGGGUGCGAGCGUUGUCCGGAUUUAUUGGGCGUAAAGGGCUCGUGGGUGGUUGAUCGCGUCGGAAGUGUAAUCUUGGGGCUUAACCCUGAGCGUGCUUUCGAUACGGGUUGACUUGAGGAAGGUAGGGGAGAAUGGAAUUCCUGGUGGAGCGGUGGAAUGCGCAGAUAUCAAGAGGAACACCAGUGGCGAAGGCGGUUCUCUGGGCCUUUCCUGACGCUGAGGAGCGAAAGCGUGGGGAGCGAACAGGCUUAGAUACCCUGGUAGUCCACGCUGUAAACGGUGGGUACUAGGUGUGGGGUCCAUUCCACGGGUUCCGUGCCGUAGCUAACGCUUUAAGUACCCCGCCUGGGGAGUACGG
rnacentral:rRNA from 1 species